rnacentral:rRNA from 1 species
ACGAACGCUGGCGGCGUGCUUAACACAUGCAAGUCGAACGGAAAGGCCCUGCUUUUGUGGGGUGCUCGAGUGGCGAACGGGUGAGUAACACGUGAGUAACCUGCCCUUGACUUUGGGAUAACUUCAGGAAACUGGGGCUAAUACCGGAUAGGAGCUCCUGCUGCAUGGUGGGGGUAGGAAAGUUUCGGCGGUUGGGGAUGGACUCGCGGCUUAUCAGCUUGUUGGUGGGGUAGUGGCUUACCAAGGCUUUGACGGGUAGCCGGCCUGAGAGGGUGACCGGCCACAUUGGGACUGAGAUACGGCCCAGACUCCUACGGGAGGCAGCAGUGGGGAAUAUUGCACAAUGGGCGGAAGCCUGAUGCAGCAACGCCGCGUGCGGGAUGACGGCCUUCGGGUUGUAAACCGCUUUCGCCUGUGACGAAGCGUGAGUGACGGUAAUGGGUAAAGAAGCACCGGCUAACUACGUG